UACGGAGGGUGCGAGCGUUAAUCGGAAUAACUGGGCGUAAAGGGCGCGCAGGCGGGGUUUUAAGUGUGAUGUGAAAUCCCCGGGCUCAACCUGGGAAUAGCAUUUCAGACUGGGAGUCUAGAGUACUGUAGGGGAGGGUAGAAUUCCACGUGUAGCGGUGAAAUGUGUAGAGAUGUGGAGGAAUACCGAAGGCGAAGGCAGCCCCCUGGGAAUGUACUGACGCUGAUGUGCGAAAGCGUGGGUAGCAAACAGG
rnacentral:rRNA from 1 species